rnacentral:rRNA from 1 species
GACGAACGCUGGCGGCGUGCCUAAUACAUGCAAGUUGAGCGCUGAAGGUUGGUACUUGUACCAACUGGAUGAGCAGCGCACGGGUGAGUAACGCGUGGGGAAUCUGCCUUUGAGCGGGGGACAACAUUUGGAAACGAAUGCUAAUACCGCAUAAAAACUUUAAACACAAGUUUUAAGUUUGAAAGAUGCAAUUGCAUCACUCAAAGAUGAUCCCGCGUUGUAUUAGCUAGUUGGUGAGGUAAAGGCUCACCAAGGCGAUGAUACAUAGCCGACCUGAGAGGGUGAUCGGCCACAUUGGGACUGAGACACGGCCCAAACGCCUACGGGAGGCAGCAGUAGGGAAUCUUCGGCAAUGGACGAAAGUCUGACCGAGCAACGCCGCGUGAGGGAAGAAGGUUUUCGGAUCGUAAAACUCGGUUGGUAGAGAAGAACGUUGGUGAGAGUGGAAAGCUCAUCAAGUGACGGUAACUACCCAGAAAGGGACGGCUAACUACGUG